GGUGCUGGGAGUAGGGCGCAAGAUGUCGGCGGAUGCAGCUCCGAGGAGGUAGGCAGUGGGAGCCGGCGUUCAGUCCGGCCCGUGCCAACAGUGGUUCCUCUCUCCCCCGUAGUUCGAGGAGACCACGCGCUGCCCCUCUGGCACGAUCGUGGAUGAACCCCCUGGCAACUGAAAUGGGAAAGGCAGCGCCCCCGACUCUGGGGACUGGACCGAAGUCCACGGUAGUGACAGCUGCCAGACCCUGAGGAGAGGACGAGAAGACCCGAGGCCUCUGCUACGAACACUGGCAGCCGAUGGAAAAUUCAGACGGAUUUGGGACAGUAUGCAGAGUUCUCCAAGCGACAGAUUAACAGAGGCUCUUGAAGAAUAACUGCGUAAUCACGUGUUCUGCUCAAAAGAAGGCCUGAAUGCCCAGUGCCUUAUUUGGCUUUCAGGGUUGGUGAAAGAAAAAGCAAAGUAGAUGCUUUCUAAUGCUAAGUCAUUUAAUGUAGCACCAUUCCUUGAACUUCUUUCAUCUCUAAGGUCGUCCCUUUCACCUGAUGAUGACCUUUGGGCCAUCGUACAGGCAUGUGUAAACUUGGAGAUCUUCCUCAACAUUGCACCAUAUCUUGGGUUCAUUCAAGGCAGAGUCUCCUUGCAAAAGCAUUCUAAAACAAUGUAAAGUCGAAGAGAGUAGAGCAAUACCUCCAUAGUUGGAAAAUGUGGAGGAGGCCAAUUAAGGGACAGAAAAAGAAGUGCAGAGAAUCUUGGAAUUGUUGCAAAAUUAUUCUGGAGAUAUUUCUAAGUCUCCUCUAUCCUUUUCCUUAGUGAUUAAUACAGGUUUUUAUAUUAAGUGGACAGUAAAAUCCAAACAGAAAGAGGUAUAUGUCGUAUAAUGAAGCCUAUGUUCAAAGUAUAUCUGAAAUUUGUUUUUAUAAUGUCUUUCUUGAGAGCUUAUAAAGAUGUCAGUAUUCUGUGGGAAACAAAUUGGCACAUGCAUAAAAGAGAAAAAAUGAAAAAAAUCAGGCCCAACUUUCAGUUUACAGAUGAGGAAACUGUGACAUAGAAAAGGAAAUGACAAAGAUCACACUGAAUCAGACCUGGGAACUGGAGCCCAGCCAUGCUCCUUGGCCCAGUGCCUCUUCUUAUUCUAGGAGCUCAUACCCCUUUGAAAGAAACAUAAUAUGAAUGUGUCUUCAAAUGAUGCUCAUAAAUCUCUUCAUCAUACUGAGGGAGGGAGAUAAGGGGAUUAGUUCUUCAGGAUCUAGACAGGCUUUCAAGAAAAUCUUUAGCUGGGUGCGGUGGCUCAUUCGUGUAAUCCCAGCGCUUUGGGAGGCUGAGGCAGGUGGAUCACCUGAGGUCAGGAGUUCCAGAUCAGGCUGGCCAACAGCGUCUCUACUAAAAAUACAAAAAUUAGCCAGGCAUGGUGGCGGGAGCCUGUAAUCCCAGCUACUCGGGAGGCUGAGGCAGGAGAAUCGCUUGAACCUGGGAGGCGGAGGUUGCAGUGAAGUGAGAUCGUGCCAUUGCACUCCAGGGCAACGAGUGAAACUCCAUCUCAAAAAAAAAAAAAAAAUCAUCAUCAUCAUCAUCUUAGCAGAGCUCUCGCUAAAUGAUAAAGACUUGGCAACUGAUAUCCUUUUUUUCAGAGAACUUAAGUAGAGACUGGAUAAUCACUAAUUGGGGUUGUGUUUAAGGGCAUUCAAACCUCUGAAAUCUCUUCCAUCUGCAGGUCUAAUUAUUUGGUUACUCUUUCAGUACAUGUGUGCAGGAAGCAUGGGGGGAAAGAAAACUAAUCCCUCUCCAAAGUCUUCUUUGAAUAGGUAUUAUGUUUGCAUUUUCAUACAUGUUAGUUCACUUAGUCUUCACCAUAGGCUUUCUAGGUUGGUAUUAUUCUUAGUCUACCUAAGAAGUUCACAAAGGUUAGGUGACAUGCUCCAAGCCACACAGAUGAUAGGCGGCACAACCAGAUGAUACUACAGGUCUCCAGAUGAGUGAGCCAAUGAUUACAUAGUUUGUUCCCCAGCCCCUCCCCAGUGUAGGUAAAGUGCCUGCACUGCUCACUGGGUCAUCAGAGCAAGUUGCUCCCACUGCCCUCUUGGUCUAACGGCUAGAAACAAAGCUGCAACAGAGGCCCACUCCUACUAGGAGACAGGCAUUUUAAUUGGCACCUCCUUACAAAGGCUCCAGUGUUCUAGAGCUUUGCAUACAGGAAGAUUCUCGUUGAACAAUGAAGCCAAACCUCGCUUCCAAAAUUCCCAGUUUGGUAGUUCACUGUGGAUGAAGAGGCCGGAGACACCCUUAGACAAGCUGGGACCGUGAUGAUAGGAACCAGUUUGUGAAGGGAGGAGGCUGGGCUAACAGGAUCUAGGGAGAUAGAUGAUAUCUGGACCUUAGGUAGUUCGUGUUACUCAAAGUCAGCAAGGUUUUUGUUGUUUUUUGAGACAGUCUUGUUAUGUUGCCCAGCCUGGAGUGCAGCAGUGCGAUCUCAGCUCGCUGCAACCUCCACCCCGUGGGUUCAAGCAAUUCUUGUGCCUCAGCCUCCUGAGUAGCUGGGACUACAGGUGCGGGCCGCCACACUUGGCUAAUUUUUUGUACUUUUAGUAGAGAUGGAGUUUCACCAUGUUGGCCAGGCUGGUCUUGAAGUCCUGUCCUCAAGUGAUCUGCCUGCCGCAGCUUACCACAAGUGCUGGGAUUACAGGUGUGAGCCACUGCACCUGGCCAAGAUCAUUUGAUGUUCUUGGGUGAAUGGCCACUUUCACCUGGAUCCCACCAAUUUUUGGUGCCCUAGGGAGCAUGAUCCAGAGUUCCCUCAAGACAGAGGAUGUGCUAAAGGCAAACUCCAGAGGUCAUCCUAUCCCCAUGCCUUCCGCCUUUCUAAAGAGAAGCUCUUCUGCCCUGCUGUUACCACUCAGUACUCUAGAUUAAACCUGUUCCCCACGUUCAUUCUGUACCCAUGACUAUAUUUCUGCUUCCUGGAAAGUUGUAGCCAUAGGAAUGAAAAACUCACCAAUCAGUUGUGGUCUUCCUGAGGCAAGUCAGUCACCUUCCUACUCUGGUAUCUUCCAUGGCUACCAGCUGGCCACAGAACCAAGCACUGACUCACCAGCCUCCAGUCUGGUUCCUUUUCAGCCUUUUUGCCACCCCUACAGCCCAUACUACAUCAUCCAUUCUGGCCAUCUCAGAUUCUUCCUUGCUAGCUCCCACCUUUCCCUGCAUCCAGUCCUCUGUACUAUUUCAUCUAUUUGAACACUCUUUUCUCCCUGCAUCCUGGGUCUCCAUUCAAAUCUUCCUCUUCCCUGGAAGUACAGCUUCAGUGGUUAACAUCACAAAGCAAAGCUGACUUCAGCAAACUUUCCAAGACAACCAGGGACCAACACAGUUCAGAUUAAAGGGGAUAAAUAAAGUGGCUUUAAGAUCACUUGUAGUUCAGAGGUCACCCAGGGGAUUAGGAUCUAUGCAGAGACCUGCAGAGCCACGCUGCUUCCCCAAGGGACCCCCUUCAUGCUGCUGGAACUUGCCCUACCCCUCAGGAGAAACUGGGCUGCUGUAGCUGCGUCACGCAGGCGGCUGUGGGCCAGCCCGGAGCAAAACUGUGUUGCUUGGCAUUUCUCCACUUCCUCUCGUGGCCGACGUCAUUCUGUGACUGUGCAGGGAUUCAUGCUCGCCAUUGCACUCCACAGUGAGAUACUUGAAUUGAUUUAAAAUUUAUUCACCCCAGUGUUCACUCCCACCUUAGCCCCAUUCCAUGCGCCCUUACCCUUACUCAUCGCAGUAUCAAAAUAACUCCCAAAUGGGAUUGCUGUGCUUGAACACCUCCCAUCAUGCCUCUUACCUUCUGCAUGCAUUUAGUUAGUUCCUGAAGCAUACAGCCCCCUCACCUGCAAGCCCCGCCUCAGCGCACACCCUUGCCAGGUUGGAGGAAGUCCUGGUACCCGGAGCAGUUUGCUUUGUUUUUGCAGUGUCAGUGAUCUCACAAGCACUUGGUUGGCCACACAGUCCUAUCGAUAACUUCCAGCAGAUAACCCAAGUGGGUGACUGGGGGGUGGAAGCCAGGUCUCGGUUCCUGUGUGUGACCCAAGGCCCCCCAGCACAGGGCCCACCCUCUCAUCUGGCUCAGCCAGGUCUUGCAGAAUGGGCUCUGCUGAGAUCUAACCAGACACAUUUGCUAUCUGUUAGGUGAGCUCAUUCCUGGAACCUAGCAGGUAUUCCGUUCAUGGCUGACUCUCAAGGGAAUGAAGGGAAAAGGAAGAGCGGGUCUGAGAUCCUUUGGAUUAUCUUUACGAAGCAAAAGCUUCUGUGAACUGUGAUCUUCAGAACGAAUGCUGGGCCUAUCCAGGUCUGUCCGCAGUACCCAAAGUCGUAGCUCCGUGAUGAGCUAUGAUGUAGCCCAGCCACACUCAGUGACGGCUCCUGGUUCCUCACUUGCCAGGGCAGCUUCAGUUCCUGCCGCGGUGUCAGUGCAGAUUGAUUCCCGCUGCGUUACUGAACGAACUCCUGACCCUGGGCUCUGAGCUGAUGAGCUGGCUCCAGAAGGUGUUAAUCAUCAUCACUCAGGUGUGCUGUCCUCACAGAGUCCUGGUGCACCUGGGAUCCCAGUAGCUCCACAUUUUCUUUGCUGCCUUCGAGGUUCACAUCUUCAGGGUCCCACUAUGGAGAAAAGAUGCAAAGGGUAGCUGGGUGGAACGGAUAGAUGCUUCUCAUCUGUCAUAACCCCUGACCCAAACAAAAGCUCCAAUCUUGGUUCUCAUGAUCCAGGCACAGACAAGGACAAAAGGGUAAGGACAAGUUACCCAGGCCUGUGUUUCUGGGACCUAAGGAGGCAAGCAUAACUUUACAUCAAGCAACUAAUGAACAACCACCCUAAACAUAACAGCUUCACUUUCCUUCCCGCCCUCAUUCUCCACUCUUCUCUGCCUCUACCAAGUCCUUAUCUAGUGACACUGAGUCAUGUUCUCCUUAUCCUGACUCCAUGCCUAACUCAUUCCUGGAAAAAACCAGGCAAACUUAAUCCUUUUUUAUUUUUUUAAGACAGGGUCUUGCGGUGUCACCCAGGCUAGAGUACAGUGGUGCAAUCAUAGCUCACUGCUGCCUCAAACUCCUAGACUCAAGCAAUCCUCCUGCUUCAGCCUCCCGAGUAGCUGGGACUACAGGUAGAUGAUGGGCUCCACGGGAACAGAGCAAACGUUCGCUCCUGCUCCUACACGGUGUUUCCUCUAAACCUGAGGCUCAGCCGACUUGUCAUCACUUAAAACCCAAUUCAGAGCGGGGGGGCACUGCCAGUGAAUAGUUCAUCACCGACUCAGUUUCCCCAUGUGUAUGCUGUGGUAUUGGAUCAGCAACGAGAUAAGAAGAUCUCUCCCAUUUCCAAGCGUCUAUGAUGAUUCUGAGGCACAAGGUCACAUUUGACAGUACUAGGAAACCCAGGAAACAAGAAGCAAAGAUGACAAAGGCUGUGUCUGCCUGGGCAGACGAUCUAUUUGGACAAGAUAAUAGACCCAGGCAUGGACAUGCUCUCCAAGAAAGAUGCCCUGACAGCUGCUCACACUGAAGCUGAAUCGAACAUUCCAAUCCUUAGAGGUUCCAGCGAAGAUCUUGAAGUCUCCCUGAGCCAUUGACACAAUGGCCAUGCCAUCCCAGUGAUAAAACACAAAUUGUGGCCUUGUUUUGGACAGAAAUAAAGAGCCCAGUUUGUUAGUGAUUUACUGAUAAUAACUGAAUCGAGUACUAAUACUUGGCGAUUUUAAAAGCCAUCAUGUUAAAAAGACCACCUGAUUCCCAGUGACCCUGCAGUGACUGGGUUUGGGCAGCUCGUCCCCUGCACCUGUUUGGGGCUGUGCCAGCCACUUCCAGUGAGAACAUCGCAUUAACUUGCGGUCGCAGACCUGGCUGGACCCCUUGAACCAAAUUCCUUUCUGACCUUAUCAGACCCCAAAUAAAAGAGCUCACCAGGCCCCUCAGCCUACGUGACCCACCUGCCCAGUGAAAAAAGUAGGGCCCUGUUCUGUUCUCUGAGGAUGGUCAGUGUGCUCUUUGAUGAAAACGGUUUCUAAGCUGAGGCCUGAGACCUAGAUCAUUGUUCUCACAGCGUGUGCUUGACCAGCCACACCAGAAGCACCCAGGCUGCUGGCUAAAAACACUGAUGCUGGGGCCCACCCUAGCCCCUGGGUAGGGGGUAGAGACCUAAGGUUUGGCAUUUUUACAAGCUCCUAGGGUGAUUCUUAGAUGCCCUGAUGAUUGAGAACCACUGCUCGAGCUUCUUAAAUGGCUGCUGAAGAAUGAUUCUUGCCAACCGUGACCAGUUCAGCAGCCUGCAGACAGAAACCUGUCACUUUGAUCAGGGUAUGGUCCGGAAGAGUAAGGCGGGGGACCAGACUCUCAACUGUGACUGGUUUACCAAGUGCCUGCCACCCUAUGCGGUGGGCUGGGGCCAGUCUAUUGGUCCCUCACGGAUGUUUCCUUCAAAAUCCCACUGGCAGAAAAUGUG
rnacentral:lncRNA from 1 species